rnacentral:sRNA from 1 species
UGCUGCGGCAGCAGCCAACAAAAGGCCAAGCGGACCCUUUGGGCCAUUAAUUAGCUGGCACAAACAAAAGAAAAACUUGCCGAGCAUAGCUCAAAACGAACGUUAAGCGAAAAUGAAACCCAAACAACGUGAGGUCAACUCUGCCAAUACAAUGUAUAAAUAAUUGUUGCCCAACUCCCACUCUCCAUCUCGACAAAGUACAUCACAUAUCAACGCCUUUUUCAUACCCUGCAGACUUUUCGUUAGGGCAUCAAUCAAGCAUAAACUGCUCCCACUUUAUGGCCCGCCAAUUAAUCGCAAUCGUAUUAAGAUUGAUCAUCAGCAGCAUCCGUGAGUGACACGCAACAGCCUAAGGUUCUUAAACGCGCUGACAAGACGCAUAUUACGUUAAGCACCGGCAAAAGAGUUAACCGCAGGCAUGCAGAAUGCGCUUUAUGCAUUAAUAUGAAUGCUUAAAGUACUUCAUUAAAAUAGGUUAAAUUAUGACCCCAAAGGCUGU